ACCGAAUCAAUGCUGAAACCGUGAUGCGAGAUGUACCGUCACUUUCAGGUGAUGGCUCCGACAUCUUGGGCGGGGAGAGGUUCAUGUUCCCUCCCACCAACCAGUACGACCUGGGGGCAAGAACACCAAGGUGCGGCGAUGAGAAUGGCUGGGCUGCGGGAGCUGCGCGUCCUUAGAAGCUCGCCAUGCUCCCAGAAGCAAUGUCAGCCCGCUCCCCCUCCGCUUCAGAGCAACCGUUCCCCUUCCUCUGCUGCUGCCGCCGCCGCCGCCUCCCCUUCCCACGCAGGACGCAGCAGCAGCCAAAUCCGCUCGAGGAACUCGCUACCCGAACCCAGGACUGUCGCGGCAAACGCGCGCCACUGCGGGCGUCAUCGCCCGGAGUCCUCGGCUGAGCACCCGCACCACCUCAAAGCUCCAACCUUUCCCCGAAGAAGCGAAGAGAAGCGCCGGAGCGGGCAAGCUGGGUUCUGGGCAGC
rnacentral:misc_RNA from 1 species